GCGGGAGUGGUGAAACUGGCAGACACGCAGGAUUUAGGUUCCUGUGCUUCACGGCGUGAGGGUUCGAGUCCCUUCUCCCGCACCA
rnacentral:tRNA from 1 species